rnacentral:rRNA from 1 species
GAUGAACGCUGGCGGCGUGCCUAAUACAUGCAAGUCGAGCAAACAGACGAGGAGCUUGCUCCUCUGACGUUAGCGGCGGACGGGUGAGUAACACGUGGAUAACCUACCUAUAAGACUGGGAUAACUUCGGGAAACCGGAGCUAAUACCGGAUAAUAUAUUGAACCGCAUGGUUCAAUAGUGAAAGACGGUUUUGCUGUCACUUAUAGAUGGAUCCGCGCCGCAUUAGCUAGUUGGUAAGGUAACGGCUUACCAAGGCAACGAUGCGUAGCCGACCUGAGAGGGUGAUCGGCCACACUGGAACUGAGACACGGUCCAGACUCCUACGGGAGGCAGCAGUAGGGAAGCUUCCGCAAUGGGCGAAAGCCUGACGGAGCAACGCCGCGUGAGUGAUGAAGGUCUUCGGAUCGUAAAACUCUGUUAUUAGGGAAGAACAAAUGUGUAAGUAACUAUGCACGUCUUGACGGUACCUAAUCAGAAAGCCACGGCUAACUACGUG